rnacentral:rRNA from 1 species
UACGUAGGUGGCAAGCGUUGUCCGGAAUUAUUGGGCGUAAAGGGCUCGCAGGCGGUUUCUUAAGUCUGAUGUGAAAGCCCCCGGCUCAACCGGGGAGGGUCAUUGGAAACUGGGGAACUUGAGUGUAGAAGAGGAGAGUGGAAUUCCACGUGUAGCGGUGAAAUGCGUAGAGAUGUGGAGGAACACCAGUGGCGAAGGCGACUCUCUGGUCUGUAACUGACGCUGAGGAGCGAAAGCGUGGGGAGCGAACAGG